GAGUCUCCUUUUCCAUCCCACUCCUUACCUCCCUCCCUGCUAAGGAAAAAAAAAAAAAAAAAUGGGCUCCUUGGAAGUUGAAGGGAAUGCAGUCCUGGGCCACCCUGCCUGAGAGAAAGCCUAGGAAAUGUCCUUUGUAGCUGGGGACACAGCCCCACCUCCACCCCACCCAGCAACAAAGGGGCCAACAUGAAGAAAGAGAGGAAGGGUGGAUUGGGGUAGGUCACCGGAAAUCUCUGUUGCAAAGUCCACAUCCCUUGUGGAAAGUGCCAGCACAGCCCACCUGUACCCUGGGGCUUGAAGGCUGCCCCUCAUCCCAGCUGGGGCUCUCCGUCACAUACCCGUGACUACUGCCCGGUGAGGGCUCACAUGCAGCCCAGCUCCCUAGGGCCCUGGGCCCGCUGUGCCCAUCUGUGCCAGCCAAGGACGGGCAGCAGGGGCAAAGAUAGGAUAUGACCCCUGCCCCUGAAGGCUCGAUCCAGGAGAUAGAGUCAUGGUCACACAGAGAACAGAGCUGGUGGCCCAGAUCCAUGAUGAGCUGCUGUUUGAAGUGGAAGAUCCGCAGAUCCCGGAGUGUGCAGCUCUCGUCAGGAGGACCAUGGAGUCCUUGGAACAGGUGCAGGCAUUGGAGCUGCAGCUUCAGGUACCCCUCAAGGUGAGCCUGAGUGCCGGCCGCUCAUGGGGACACCUGGUGCCACUGCAGGAGGUCUGGGGCCCUCCGCCAGGCCCAUGUCGCACUGAGUCUCCCAGCAACAGCCUGGCUACCCCCGGGUCCCCUGUCAGCACCCAGCCCCCACCCCCGCAUUUUUCGCCUUCAUUUUGUCUGUAGCCCCAGGCAACAGUGGGAGGAGAGAACUGGUUUCCAGCAGUCCAUUGUGUGGCCUUCCCCAAGGUCACCAGCUCUGCACGCCCCAGGACGCAUUAACCCUUUGGGGCUGGGGUGGCCUGUCAUCCCCUGGAGUAAAUGCCUGUGCAAAGCCCUCCUCAUCCUUGUCUGAGUGAAUUCUUCCUGUGAGUGGGA
rnacentral:sRNA from 1 species